GGUGAACGCUGGCGGCGUGCUUAAGACAUGCAAGUCGAACGCAGUCUUCGGACUGAGUGGCGCACGGGUGAGUAACACGUAACUGACCUACCCCCAAGUCGCGGAUAACUGGCCGAAAGGUCAGCUACUACGUGAUGUGAUGUCCCCUUUCUGGGGGGCCAUUAAAGGUCUACUGCUUGGGGAUGGGGUUGCGUUCCAUCAGCUAGUUGGCGGGGUAAAGGCCCACCAAGGCAACGACGGAUAGCCGGCCUGAGAGGGUGGCCGGCCACAGGGGCACUGAGACACGGGUCCCACUCCUACGUGAGGCAGCAGUUAGGAAUCUUCCACAAUGGGCGAAAGCCUGAUGGAGCGACGCCGCGUGAGGGAUGAAGGUUCUCGGAUCGUAAGCCUCUGAAUCAGGGACGAAAGACGCGUAAGCGGGAUGACGGUACCUGAGUAAUAGCACCGGCUAACUCCGUGCCAGCCGCCGCAGUAA
rnacentral:rRNA from 1 species